rnacentral:rRNA from 1 species
ACCCGCUGAAUUUAAGCAUAUAAGUAAGUGGUGGAAAUUAAACCAAAUGGGAUAUCUUUAGUAAUUGCGAAUGAACAAGGAUAUGCUUAGCUUGACAAAUGGAGCUAUUGGCUUUGAAUUGUAUUGUGGAAAUGUAUUACCAACAGAGGUGCAGGUGCCAGCCUAUUGAAAUAAAGCGUCAAUGAGGGUGAGAAUCCUGUUUGUCAUGUGCAGCCCUCUGUGCACGGUGUAUAUUUGCUGAGUCACACUCCUUGGCAUUGGAAUGCAAAGUGGGUGGUAAGUUUCAUGUAAAGGUAAACAUGCAAUUGAGACUGAUAGCACACAAGUACCAUGAGGGAAAUAUGAAAAGGACUUUGAAAAGAGAAUUAAAUGAGUUUGUAUUUGCUGAACACAAAGUAAACAGACUUGAUUUGCUUGGUGGGAGUGUUGCACUUGCUUGACAAGAGCUUUGGGCUGUGGGUGUAAUGAUUCUUUCUUUGCAUGCCAGUUUCUAUUUGUACAUCUGAUUACCUUUGCACAUGAAUGAUAAGACUCCUGUGGGGGGUGGAUUGCAUGUGCAUGUAAUGAUUUGUGCUUUGAUAAAUGUGUCUGGUGUAUGUGUGUGUUCCUGUGCUUGGGGAUGCUUCCUUCCUUGGACUUACAAGCCCUGACACACACAUGCUGGCAAAAUGCUUCUGCUUGACCCGUCUUGAAACACGGACCAAGG